rnacentral:misc_RNA from 1 species
UUUCCGUAGGUGAACCUGCGGAAGGAUCAUUAGUGUAUUACCUAUGUUAGAGGACUGCCUCUGACCCGAUAGCUCGUACACACCCCAGUGCCCUCACACACAUGUAUUUCAGCCCUAUAAGCACCACCGCUUGGAGCCCCCUUUCGCUUGUUCGAAGGGUUGCUUACGUUUACAUACAAACUUUAUAUUCAAUUUAAACUGUAAUUAUUGGUUUUGUGAGCACUCACUCAAAACAACUUUCAACAACGUAUCUCUUGGCUCUUUCAUCGCUGCAGAACC